ensembl:lncRNA novel transcript
GCGCUCCCCUCGGGCAGUGGAGGGAGCGGCUCUCUCCGCAGGACACCGCCGCUUUUCUCUCUUCAGAGCGGUGGCUGACGUACAGAACGCCGGCUGUAUCACCCGGGCGCCGGCGCCGCCUCUCAUCCCCGUAGCUCUCGGGGCGCGCCGGGAGUAGCCGAGCCGCUGGGUGCUGGGCGGGGUCUCCGGGCGCGGCGCGGGGGGAAGGCAAAGGAAAAGAAGGGGCGGCGGGCCGACGUCGGCGGCGAGGAAGGACGGAGGAGCGCCGGAGCCGCUUUGCUGCCCUCCGCGUGGUCCCGUGCCUCCCCGACACCAUGGCCCUGGCUGAGGUAGUAGUUUGUGCUGUUGGUCGGGUUGUGACAUUGCCCGCUGUGGAGAUAACUGCGCAAGCUACUGCCUUGCUAGUGCUGGUGAUGCUCAGCGCCGCGGAGGACAAUGGCUGGGAAUCCCCUUUGUUUUCCGGGGCGCUGCCUGGGGACAGCCCGCGAAGCCUCGGCGCCCGGCCGGCGCGGCCACCACGGAAACCGUUAGUUUCACAUUUUCCUAGAAGGAAUUGAGGGGAGUGGGGUGGACCGCGAUGCAUUUUAAAGGUUGGGAAAGAGCUAAGCCAUUGGAUUCCUUUUCUUGAAGGAAGGAGUGGAAUUGUGUAAGAUAAUUGAUACAGAUAACUUUUUCACCCUAAAAAAUUCUAACACUUCUUUCAGCAGUUAAAUGCCAAAUUUAGUGUGUACCUGUUUUACUUCAUUCUUUAGCUGUAGGUUGGAGUGGUGUGAGCGAUCUGCAGAACUGGCAUUAGAGGGGCAGAAGAAGUAGACCUGAUAAUUAAAGUUUAUGCCUUAACAUUUUAGAUCUGGUUUCUGAUAUGCUCUCUUAGUAAAUCUGAGUGUGUCUUUAAAAACGUAAACCCAAAGCAAUUUAAAGUUUCUCUUUAAACUUUGCAACUCGCGAAUGAGAAGAUUGAAAUUAUUUGUAGGUAAUUGCACUAUUCCGAUUUUUUAAUGUAUGAGGCAAACAAAUAAAUUCUAUGUACAGUGUGCUGUGAA